rnacentral:rRNA from 1 species
GAUGAACGCUAGCGGCAGGCCUAACACAUGCAAGUCGAGGGGCAUCAUGGCGUAGCAAUACGCUGAUGGCGACCGGCGCACGGGUGCGUAACGCGUAUGGAACCUACCCACCGCAGGGGGAUAACCCGCCGAAAGGCGGACUAAUACCCCAUGGUUCCCCGACCCUGCCUGGGGUUGGGGGUAAAGCCUACGGGCGGCGGUGGAUGGCCCUGCGUGCCAUUAGCUGGCUGGUGGGGUAACGGCCCACCAGGGCGACGAUGGCUAGGGGGUCUGAGAGGACGAUCCCCCACACUGGUACUGAGACACGGACCAGACUCCUACGGGAGGCAGCAGUGAGGAAUAUUGGUCAAUGGGCGGAAGCCUGAACCAGCCAAGUCGCGUGAAGGAAGAAGGAUCUAUGGUUCGUAAACUUCUUUUGCAGGGGAAUAAAGUGCAGGACGUGUCCUGUUUUGUAUGUACCCUGAGAAUAAGGAUCGGCUAACUCCGUG